CUGAGUACGGCGGAACACGUGAAAUUCCGUCGGAAUCCGGGAGGACCAUCUCCCAAGGCUAAAUACUCCCUAGUGACCGAUAGUGAACCAGUACCGUGAGGGAAAGGUGAAAAGCACCCCGGAAGGGGAGUGAAACAGUUCCUGAAACCGUGUGCCUACAAGUAGUUAGAGCCCGUUAAUGGGUGAUAGCGUGCCUUUUGUAGAAUGAACCGGCGAGUU
rnacentral:rRNA from 1 species